rnacentral:rRNA from 1 species
AGUGAACGCUGGCGGUAGGCCUAACACAUGCAAGUCGAACGGCAGCACAGUAAGAGCUUGCUCUUACGGGUGGCGAGUGGCGGACGGGUGAGGAAUACAUCGGAAUCUACUUUUUCGUGGGGGAUAAGGUAGGGAAACUUACGCUAAUAUCGCAUACGACCUACGGGUGAAAGGAGGGGAUCUUCGGACCUUGCGCGAUUGAAUGAGCCGAUGUUGGAUUAGAUGGUGGGCGGGGUAAAGGCCCACCCAGGCGACGAUUCGUAGCUGGUGUGAGAGGAUGGUCGGCGACAUUGGAAGUGAGACACGGACCAGACGCCUACGGGAGGCACCAGUGGGGUAUAUUGGACAGUGGGCGCAAGCAUUGUCCAGUCAUACCGCGUGUGUGAAGACGGCCUUGGGGUUGUAAAGACCUUUUGUUGGGAAAGAAAAGCAGCAGGUUAAUACCCAGCUGUUCUGACGGUACCCAAAGAAUAAGCACCGGCUAACUUCGUG